AGUCGAGCGAACAGACGAGGAGCUUGCUCCUCUGACGUUAGCGGCGGACGGGUGAGUAACACGUGGGUAACCUACCUAUAAGACCGGGAUAACUCCGGGAAACCGGGGCUAAUACCGGAUAACACAUGAAACCGCAUGGUUUCAUGAUGAAAGACGGUUUUGCUGUCACUUAUAGAUGGACCCGCGGCGUAUUAGCUAGUUGGUAAGGUAACGGCUUACCAAGGCAACGAUACGUAGCCGACCUGAGAGGGUGAUCGGCCACACUGGAACUGAGACACGGUCCAGACUCCUACGGGAGGCAGCAGUAGGGAAUCUUCCGCAAUGGGCGAAAGCCUGACGGAGCAACGCCGCGUGAGUGAUGAAGGUCUUCGGAUCGUAAAACUCUGUUAUUAGGGAAGAACAAGGGUGUAAGUAACUAUGCACCCCUUGACGGUACCUAAUCAGAAAGCCACGGCUAACUACGUGCCAGCAGCCGCGGUAAUACGUAGGUGGCAAGCGUUAUCCGGAAUUAUUGGGCGUAAAGCGCGCGUAGGCGGUUUUUUAAGUCUGAUGUGAAAGCCCACGGCUCAACCGUGGAGGGUCAUUGGAAACUGGAAAACUUGAGUGCAGAAGAGGAAAGUGGAAUUCCAUGUGUAGCGGUGAAAUGCGCAGAGAUAUGGAGGAACACCAGUGGCGAAGGCGACUUUCUGGUCUGUAACUGACGCUGAUGUGCGAAAGCGUGGGGAUCAAACAGGAUUAG
rnacentral:rRNA from 1 species